AAAAGUUGCUAAAACUGCUGUGAGAUUCUGGCUAAGAAAGUUUCAUGAGAAGUUUUACAAAAAAAUGUGAACGGAAGACAGAACUAGAUAUAAAUUUGAAUUUUUGAGAAGAAUGCAAAGAAGAAAGGAAGAGUGAGCCUCUCUUUUCCAUCGUUACCUUCCAUUGUCCUCUUGACACCCUGCUUUCGCAGACAAAGAGUUUGAGACCCUCUUCCAGGAGCCAAGGAGAGGGGAACAGCUGGCUUCACAUCAUCUUUCUAUUCAACAAGAUACAAAAAGCUGAAGCCAGGAUGAUAGAAAAGCAACAAAGAAGAUACGGUCCUUACUCAUUUCCCUUCCCGCUUCAGAGCAAAAUGGUGCCUGGUGUUCGAAGGGAGAACUUGUGGGCAGAGCAGGAAGCGUGAGUAUGGUUGAAGGAUCAAAUAUUUGGUUCAGGCAUCAGGGAGCCAGCAAGACUAUGAUGCUGGGAAACGCAAGUGAUGUACUGUUGGAUUUAAUCUACUUGGAAAGAACCUAGGAAAACCAAAAUGUCAUCAACUAACACCUGAAAUGCCUCAGCACCAUCUGUCUCCAACAUUAAACAAAACCCACGAGAUUCCGGGAGAAAGAAAAUAGGAAAUUUAAUGAUGAACUUAACCUGAGUAACUUGAUAAAUAUUACCUUUGUGGCUAGCCAUUCACCAGCAAGUCCCUAAAAUGACCUGAAACCUGAAGAGUGUUUCACCCAUGAAAGGGUUUGCUCUCUCUGGGCAUGGCUACCCAGCACAUAUGUUAGUCAACUUUCUUUCCCUUGCAGGGCCCCUUGGAAAACUAGUUUGAAUCAUUCAUUAACUCAGCUCCACUCUUUCCCUUUCCCAUGGACCAUAUUUUCUUUGAGCAAUUAAAACUUAUAAGACACCAAAAUUUAGCGGUGAAUAUGGACUUAACAAUAUCGAAACUCUUUCACAUUCACUGACCCACUACAAUCUGCCACACACUAUACUAGGCACUGG
rnacentral:lncRNA from 1 species